CAGAGACAGGGUGUGGCCUGUAAAGCCUGCAGUACGUACCAUCUGGCCCUUUACAGAACAAGCUUGCCAACCCCUGCUAAGCUGUCCCCUUUGCCUUUCCCGACGGCGGAACUGCAGGAACAGCUUCCUCUCUGAUCACACUCGCCGCUCUGGGCUCCAGGGGGGAAGAGACUAAGUUGUAUUAACUGGAUUAAUUGGGUUAACCUUGGCUGAACUCCUGGGGCACGAGCCUUGUUGCCCGACAGAACUUGCGUAGACCUCACCCAGUGUCCACUAGUGGUGGGGUGGAUGUGCUGACCACAGACCACCUGUUGCAGAUGGUUUCUGAGGUCAGUGUCUUUAUGGGAUUGCUGUCGAUUGAGCUGGAAAUGAAAGUACAGCCCGCUGCCUUUGUGCUCAUUUCAGGUGGAGAUCUGCACUGGUGCCGUGUUCAUGAGGCUGGUCUUGGGGUUGGAUGUUAACCUGGCCACCAUAGUUUUGCUGACAAUUACUGGCGUUUAUUCCAUCACAGGUGGUUUUGCAGCUGUGGUUUACACUGAUACCUUACACGCUGGCGUUAUGGUUCUGGGGUCAGUCUUGCUAAUGGGCUUUGUUUCCAGAUACUGGUGAGGUUGAGCAUCUUUUCAUGUACGGUCAGGCAUCACCUAAUGACAUUUUGGUCAAUGACAGACUGCAUAUACGACAGUGGUCCCACAAGAUCAUAAUGGAGCUGAAAAAGUCCUAUCACCUAGUGAUGUCAUAGCCAUCAUAACAU